AUUGAACGCUGGCGGCAGGCCUACCACAUGCAAGUCGAACGAGUGGCGGACGGGUGAGUAAUGUCUGGGAAACUGCCUGAUGGAGGGGGAUCACUACUGGACACGGUAGCUCAUACCGCAUACCAUCGGAUGUGCCCAGAUGGGAUUAGCUAGUAGGUGGGGUAAAGGCUAACCUAGGCGACGAUCCCUAGCUGGUCUGAGAGGAUGACCAGCCACACUGGAACUGAGACACGGUCCAGAGUCCUACGGGAGGCAGCAGUGGGGAAUAUUGCACAAUGGGCGCAAGCCUGAUGCAGCCAUGCCGCGUGUAUGAAGAAGGCCUGCGGGUUGUAAAGGACUGUCAGCGGGGAGGCGGUACCCGCAGAAGAAGCACCGGCUAACUCCGUGCCAGCCGCCGCGGUAAUUC
rnacentral:rRNA from 1 species